GAUGAACGCUGGCGGCGUGCCUAAUACAUGCAAGUCGAGCGAACAGACGAGGAGCUUGCUCCUCUGACGUUAGCGGCGGACGGGUGAGUAACACGUGGAUAACCUACCUAUAAGACUGGGAUAACUUCGGGAAACCGGAGCUAAUACCGGAUAAUAUAUUGAACCGCAUGGUUCAAUAGUGAAAGACGGUUUUGCUGUCACUUAUAGAUGGAUCCGCGCCGCAUUAGCUAGUUGGUAAGGUAACGGCUUACCAAGGCAACGAUGCGUAGCCGACCUGGGAGGGUGAUCGGCCACACUGGAACUGAGACACGGUCCAGACGCCUACGGGAGGCAGCAGUAGGGAAUCUUCCGCAAUGGGCGAAAUCCUGACGGAGCAACGCCGCGUGAGUGAUGAAGGUCUUCGGAUCGUAAAACUCUGUUAUUAGGGAAGAACAAAUGUGUAAGUAACUAUGCACGUCUUGACGGUACCUUAUCAGAAAGCCACGGCUAACUACGUG
rnacentral:rRNA from 1 species